rnacentral:rRNA from 1 species
CCUACGGGUGGCUGCAGUGAGGAAUAUUGGUCAAUGGGCGCGAGCCUGAACCAGCCAAGUAGCGUGAAGGAUGACUGCCCUACGGGUUGUAAACUUCUUUUAUAAGGGAAUAAAUUUAGUCACUUGUGCCUUUUUGUAUUUACUUUAUGAAUAAGGAUCGGCUAACGCCGUGCCAUCAGCCGCGGUAAUACGGAGGAUCCGAGCGUUAUCCGGAUUUAUUGGGUUUAAAGGGAGCGUAGAUGGGUUGUUAAGUCAGUUGUGAAAGUUUGUGGCUCAACCGUAAAAUUGCAAUUGAUACUGGCAGUCUUGAGUACAGUUGAGGUAGGCGGAAUUCGUGGUGUAGCGGUGAAAUGCUUAGAUAUCACGAAGAACUCCGAUUGCGAAGGCAGCUUACUAAACUGCCACUGACAUUGAUGCGCGAAAGCGUGGGUAUCAAACAGGAUUAGAUACCCGGGUAGUC